GACGAACGCUGGCGGCGUGCUUAACACAUGCAAGUCGAACGGUGACCCUCGGAGCUUGCUUCGGGGUGAGCAGUGGCGAACGGGUGAGUAACACGUGAGUAACCUGCCCCUGACUCUGGAAUAAGCGCUGGAAACGGCGUCUAAUACCGGAUACGACACGCCUCAGCAUGGGGAGCGUGUGGAAAGUUUUUCGGUCUGGGAUGGACUCGGGGCCUAUCAGCUUGUUGGUGAGGUAAUGGCUAACCAAGGCGAUGACGGGUAGCCGGCCUGAGGGGGUGAUCAGCCUCACAGGGACUGAGACACGGCCCAGACUCCUACGGGAGGCAGCAGUGGGGAAUAUUGCGCUAAUGCGCGAAAGCGUGACGCAGCGACGCCGCGUGGGGGAUGAAGGCCCUCGGGUCGUAAACCCCUUUCGCCAGGGACGAAGGGAAACUGACGGUACCUGGAGAAGAAGUCCCGGCUAACUACGUGCCAGCCGCCGCAGUAACAC
rnacentral:rRNA from 1 species